rnacentral:tRNA from 1 species
GAAAAGAUAAACGUUGGUUUCUAGCCUUCAUACUGCUAAUUGCUCUUUUCC